rnacentral:rRNA from 1 species
UCCUACGGGAGGCAGCAGUGGGGAAUAUUGCACAAUGGGCGGAAGCCUGAUGCAGCAACGCCGCGUGCGGGAUGACGGCCUUCGGGUUGUAAACCGCUUUCGCCUGUGACGAAGCGUGAGUGACGGUAAUGGGUAAAGAAGCACCGGCUAACUACGUGCCAGCAGCCGCGGUAAU